rnacentral:tRNA from 1 species
GCGCUCGUAGCUCAGAUGGAUAGAGCAUCAGCUUGCGGAGCUGGGGGUCACAGGUUCGACUCCUGUCGGGCGCACCA